CCGUCGCAAUGGUCUAUGCUGUUACCUUCUCAAGCUGAUGAACGAAACCAAGGUUUUGCAUUUCCCAGUAUUCCAUCCCAAAGCCAGAUGCCUGAAAAUAUACAAAAGCGACAAGGAUAUACAAACAAUUUAAUUUAAAAUUACCACAAGAAAAAUAUGUGUGCAUGACAUGACAGGGAGAUCAAUAGGCUACGGUGAGUCCACUCUGAUUUUUGAGUGGACGUGGCAAAAUGAGGAGUGGUAAAUUGUUUUUCUUCAAGAAAACGAAAGCCUAGCCCCGAAGCUUCGGUUGUUGCUGAUUUUGGCGGGUGAGAUUUGAGAGAGAGCGCGAGAAAUCGAUGGGUAAAGGGGAAGCAGAGGAGGAAGGGCCUACUUUCAGGGAUACAAGGUGAUAUUAUUGUGUGUACUGUGGCAUCUGCAGGUCCAAAAAGAACCUGAUUGCUUCUCACAUCCUCACUCACCACAAGGAAGAGAUGGAAAUGGCCAAAGAGGCUGAUGGGGAUGGGGAAGGAGAGAGGGAAAAAUCCAAUACUUGCCAAGAAUGUGGUGCUACUUUUAAGAAAACUGCAUAUCUGAAGCAACAAAUGCAAAGCCAUUCCCUUGAGGUCCUGUAAUUUUCGCAUCAAUUGAAGGUAAGUAAACGACGACGAUUGGGUGUUGUAACCUGGAAAGGGCUGCGAUUGUGGCAGAACCGGUUCAGAGUUGAGACGAAUCAGAACGACGGCUCUGUUGUAACUUACGGUGAAAAGUAAGAGCUCCGUCGGUUCUGGGUUUGAAAAAUCCUGGUUAAUUUUGAGGUAAUUCUUAAUAGUCAUAUUUUGUAACCCUAAUUUUUAACAAUUUCUGGGGCGUGGGGUUUUCUUGGCUCCGGUUGUGUAGACGCUAAUAGGGUUUGGCUCAAACUUUCAUUGUAUUAUCAAUCUUUUUUGUAAUUUAAUGAAUUUAAAAAUUGAAAAUUAGAAUUGGAGGUUAAUGAAUGUUGUUCAUAUAUUUCACUGACAUUGCGGAAGAAGACAUAGUAAUCUUUCUCGGUGUCUGUCAAUUUUACCAAUUUAAGCUGUGUUGCUUGAAUUUAAUUUUAGACACCUCCUUUAAAUUUUGGAUCACCAUUCUCAAUUUCAUUCACCAUUUUCAAAGUGUUUAAUGAAACCAAGAAGUUGGGAUAGUUUUCAGAGGGACCUUUGAGCUCUGCUAGUUGUGAAGUAUUUGGCAUCACUGUAUCAACAUGAAUGUUGUACACAGGCACUCGUAAAUCUAAAUUUUUACUAUGUUCUGAUGACCUGUAUUUGCCAUCUGUUUAAGUUUUAAACUUGUGCAGAUGUUUAAGCCUAGGCUUUUCCUUCUGGGGUUGGUGGCAAAUGGGAUGUCAUACAUGGACAUUUUGUUUAGGACUUCCAUAUCAAUAUUUUGUCUGAGUUUGUCAUCUCUUGUUUUGCAAGCGUGUAUUGAUUUCUCCAUUCAGUUGGGUUGUAUUUGGAAUGAUAUAGAUAUCACUAGAUUAUGGUGUGCUUCAUAUCUUAUUGAUAGUUUUUGGGGUUCUAUUCACUUGGUGUUCUGGUGCCCUCUGAUGCUCAUGUGUUCCUAGUGCUUUGUGUGGAUGAAGAUAAGUGAGUUCCAUUGACUCGGCUCUACUCUGUUUCUUGCUGUUCCUGAAAUUCAUCCCUCUUAAUUGUACAAUCAUUUCUUUCGUUUAAUGUGGUGUUGGUGAAUUUUAUUUUUAAUCGUGAGUUAAGGCUUGAAUUUAUGUUCCUUCUUUGAUUUUAUUUUGGCUUGGCUUUUGGUCUGGUCUACUUUCUGAGAAGCGAGUUAGGAUCUGGUUAC